GGAGGAUCUUCUCGUGCUGCGUCUCCUGGGCGUACCCCACCAUGUCUUCGAUGGCCUGGGCAGAUUUGGAGCCCAGCAUCACCAGACCCAGAGCCAGUCCUGCUGCCUCCCCUGGUGCACAGCAACAGAAAAGGGGAUUUCUUCAAAAUGCCAUGUUAAAAAUGCCACGUCUACCUGUGACAGCAUCAUCUUGGUAGAGGUUGGACUUGAGCAGGUCGUACACAUCCUGUCGGGCAGUUCCUAGGGCAGCCAGCCCCAGACCCAGGCAACCUCCGUGACGCACAAUCUGUGGGGGAGAAGAGAGAUGCACACUGAACACGAAGCGAUGCAGGAGGGGACACAAACCAAUGGGACCAACUUACUAAACUCAUAGUACUUAUCACUUACAUGUAUUUACAUAAGUAAAUUAAAAAAAAAAAACAA